AAACAAUCUAUUUUUAUUGUAGAAGCUCAAUACACUUUAGUGUUUCUGUUUUAAUUGGUCAUUUGUAGCUAGGAAAAGGAACACAAAUCCUAUGUAACAUUAAAGUGUUUUGGAGAAUAUGGCCAAAAAAAUCUGAAAAGAAAUGUCUGCAUUGAGUUGAGAUUGAUUGAGAAACCAUGUUCUUUAUUACCUAAAUAACGGUAGCUAAUGCAGAUUAGAAAAAUACUUUAUGAGAACUGUAUCAGGCUAGGUUUUAAGCAUAUAUGGUGAACAAUAAUAUUCGGUUGUAAGUUGUAAUAUUUUUAUAAAUAAGCCAUGAAGGUGAACACUAACAUUCGGUUGUAAGUUAUAUUAGUUUGAUAAAUAAGCCAUGAAGGUGGGAAGACCAAAAUAUUUGCAUAAAACAGUCAAAACAAAUAAACAAACAAACAAGUAAACUAACAAGCUGUUCCAGCAAGGAUGACAAAUGGUAUUGUGUAGCAGUUUGUACUGUAACCAAUGAAUUUCAGUAUUUUCAUAUUUUUAGUGAUUAAGGCAUAGCAAAGGCAGGUCUUAAUAACUAUUUCUAGCGUUUGUUAAUUUGGCUUUUCGGUGAUGGUUUGCACUUAAAACAAAACAAAACAGCCACACUUCUUCUUAGCUGUCUGCAGAUAUCUACAGUAAAGGAAAUGGACUAAAACAAAGAGUUAUAAUUCAUCUCUUGCAAACAAACAGUAAGAAGAAUAAUAUCAAAAUAAUAUACUUAAUAUAUACAUCAUCGGAGACCAUGGUGGAUUUACAACAUUUCAUGAAACUUAAGAAAGUUUGGCAGGCUACUAUAAUUGUUAAAAGCUAAAUUUUGAAAUAUAAAAUUAAUAUACAGUUGAAGUUGUGUUUGUUUGACUUAUUCUAUUCAGAUAUUGCAGAACACAAAUCACACUAAUAUUAUUGAUACCAGUGAGAGAAAUACAUCUUUGAAUCCAGAUUAAAUGUUAACUAAAUAAACGCAGAAUUGAUUAUUUUGUUCAAAAGUGAUUAAUUUUUAGGAAAUAGUUUGUUAAUUGACAACAAAGAGGUUUCUGUCAUUAACAGGUCUAAUUCAGUUAAGAGUGUUUCCAUAGAUCCACUGAUCUAAUCAAGUGUAGAAGCUAUUACACAACUGCAACAGUUCACUUUUAACAAAAUAAUCAAUGCUUGUCGAUAUAACCUUAGCUAUUAAACCUGUAGCCUGACCUAGCCCCCUGUAUAGUCUGCAAAAACCAUACUCUUAAUUUGCGAUCAUUACAAAAAACACUAGCAAGACAUUUUUUGGCGGUACAGUUAGACAUAAUAAAAAUGUGGUGGUUCACUUUCUUUAACUGAACUGAACAUUUUAUGACCUGUUAAUGACAUAAACAAUUUGACAAGUUGAGGUUGUAAAUAAUAAAUGUUAGUAAUAUCGAGUCUGCCAUUUUUAUUGUUCUCACUUCCAGGUGCCAUCACAAUCCUUAAAAAAAAAA